AUCACUUCUCGGCCUUUUGGCUAAGAUCAAGUGUAGUAUCUGUUCUUGUCAGUUUAAUAGGAUGGAAAACACAAAAUUCGUGCUUCUCUGAAUUUUGCAACAUAGUUUUCCAGCCGCCGCCCUCCCAAGAAAGUAUAUAUUAGGGUGAAAUGCAUAUGUUGAUGAAUACAACUUAUUAAAAUGUAUUUUUUUU
rnacentral:snRNA from 1 species